GUUUGUGUGUGCGGGAGAGGAGUGGGCUUUGCACCGUGGGGAAAGGAAGGACGGGCGGCUGAGCAGCUCCCCGAGCCGUGGGGCCGGUGGCCGUGCCUCCGCCUCGGACACGCCGCUGCCAGCCCGGUGUGCGAGGGUGCAGCGCCUGCUGCCCCGGCCCGGCUGCGGUGCCGUGUGAGGGCGCUGGGCUGUGCGCUCCGUCACCGCCGUGCCACCGUGCCAGGAGAGCCAGCCAGUGCAUCUGUCUGUCGGUUCUGCCAAAUAGGCCUGAUUUUUCCUUUUGGGAAAGGUGUUACGCGGGUUGAGCUUAAGGCCGUGAGGUAGUUAGUUAAUUGAAUCUUCUGGAUGUUUCACAGGUCAGUUAAGGUGGUAAAUAAGUCUGGCAUCCCUGUGUGCCGGCUCAGGUUCAGUGCUUACAACCAGUUCUUUACAGAAAUGUUACAGACCCGGACUUGCCCCAUUCAGGAGGUGAGAGUGUCAGAGAGACUGCAUUUUCCUUGAGCAUACUUGCUCUGUCCUCACCAAGGACGCAGGCAGAUAUGCUUUUGAGUGCAGCUUCACUGUCUCCAAGGUUAGCGAGGGACAGUCUGUUAGAGAUUAGCAAGAAAGAACAUUCCUAUGUGGGACAGUCACAGAGCAGCAUUUUCUGUCAGUGGAGGUCUUGUCAUACAGCAAAUGUUCACAGGUUUACUGUUUUAAUUCCCCAUCAUGAAAUGGGGUCUGCUUAAACAUCAUCCCAGAAGAUGAGGACAUAGAAGCUAAUAAAGUUACUUUUUUACCCCAGUACUGUGGAGGAAGCAGGACAUUUUUUUUCUAGAUGGGGAUAGACUGAGUAGAAUAGAUAGAAUAGUAGUAAUGCCAUACUUGCUUUCUAAUAGACAAAAAUGAAGUGUGAAGAACGUGGGGGCAUGCAUACAAAACAUAAAUCUUGAGAGGAGGAGAGAUCAUGGUACCAAUUGUGAGGAAGAGAGAGAGUUGCAUGGCCAUGUUUCUUCCCCUUCUAACAGUAAUGCUUUCUUCCAGGUACUAAAGUCAAGUGUGGACAGUAACAUCUCCAUGCUUUAGCCAGUUUGACAUGAGAAUGGCAGGUUUCUCUUCCUUUGGAUGAUGCUUCAUGCUGAAAAUACAGCAAGGCUCUUGGAGUGUCAGGACGAAAUCGGAAUUGAGCCGUAUUCUAAAAGAAUGAAGUCGACAGAAGGGGCUUGUGAGAAACUCCCUGAUGAUGAUGACAAAGGUACUCAGAAGAAAGUGGAUGUUGAGAGAAAAUCAAAUGGUUGGAUACCUACAUGUGCCUUAGAUAACCAAGGGCAACACGAAAUGCAGAAGCAAGAGAAAAUACCUUCUGGUGCCUUGGGAUCCUUGAAUGAAGUUCUUCCUGAAAAUAAUCCAGUACUUAGUCAGCCAAUUGAUUUAGAAACUGGGCAGAAUAUAAAUCCUCCUUUUACAUCAAUGAAUUACUCUGAAGUUGAAGAAGAGAAGGACCCUUUUAUUACAAAUAAUGGUGGUGAAGAUAAUACUGAAAAAGGCAGUGCAUCAUUCUCAAUAAAUAGAAAUCAAUCAGAUGAAGACUUUUUUACAAGCAAAGAUUUUAUAGGACCUAUUUACAAGCCUGCCAAAAGUAACAAGCCGGACAAAUCUGGCAAUUGCAAUGAAUGUAGGAACACGGGAGGAGAUGAGAAUGAAUUGUGUGAAAACAGAUGUAAAAGAAAGGAGGCGAAGAAGAUGCAAGCUGUUUCUGCCUCUGUACCAGAAAUAGAUGAUCAGCUGGAUCAGUUCUAUAAAGAAAUUCACCAGCUGGAAAAUGAAAAUUUAGAUACUAAUGUUCAGGAAAAAGAAACAGAAGUUUCUGAGGAACAACACUUUCCAUUUAACUCCAGUCAGAGCUCACAAGAAAAUUAUCAGCCUGUAGUUUUGGGCAGUCCACACCCAUUUUAUGAUAAUGGACAGUGUUCUUCGGGAGAACAGAACAGUCAGAAAACAAGCAAUGAGCAGCAGUUAGUUGUGGAAACAGGUGGCUGGAAAACUGAAAAUACCUUUAAUGGCCAAGCAGAUACUUGGAACUGCUCAGUGCCUGAAUUCAGACCUGCUUGGCAGACUAGAGCAUCUUUCAACAAACCUCAGGGACCUUUUCCUCCUAGAUUCAGCCAUCAAUCCCAUUUUCAGAUAUUUGAUCCCCCACCUCAAAUCCCAAAUGUUCCCUCUCCUCAGAAUGGAGGAUUUCCUUACAAAAGUUACCAUGGAAAUACUGAUAUCAGCAGUCAUGGUCCAUUGCUUGAUCAAAAUACCAACUAUUCUGGUCAUGCUGACAUCCAUAAUACUCAGGUCUUCAGGAAUGGGAAUAAUGAUCAGAAUGGACUCCAAAGUAAUGGUUUCUGUGAAACCAGAGAAGAGCGUUGGAAUGAUCCAAAAGCUGACAGUACAGGAGGAAUGCACAACUUUUCUUCGUUGCAGUUAUCUGAAGAAAAAUUCAGUUCUUCACAGAAAUUGCUUCUAAUCUUAAGAGGCCUACCAGGUUCAGGGAAAUCCACACUUUCUCGUGUUCUGCUUGGUGGGAGUUGUGACGGCGUUGUGCUCAGCACCGAUGAUUAUUUCCGCCAGCAGUACGGAUACACCUAUAAUGCUGCUCAGCUUGGUGAUGCCCAUGAGUGGAACCGCAGGAGAGCAAAGCAAGCAAUGGAGCAGGGAAAAUCUCCAGUUAUAAUAGACAACACUAAUACUCAAGCCUGGGAAAUGAAGCCUUAUGUGGAAGUGGCUCUAGAAAAAGGAUACAGAGUGGAAUUCCAUGAGCCAGAUACUUGGUGGAAGUUUGAUCCUGAUGAACUAGAAAAGAGAAAUAAGCAUGGAGUCACUCGUGAGAAGAUUGCUCAGAUGUUGGAACGCUAUGAAUAUCAAAUAUCCAUCCCUAUUGUCAUGAAUUCAGUGGUACCUCCCCACAAAAACACUCAAAGACCACCUCUGCAGAGAAGACAUAGGGAGAAAAUUUUAAGCAAGAACCCUGGAUUCCUGUUAAUAAAAGCAAAGGAGAAGGAAAAGAGAAAAAGAAACAAAGCAAUGAAAAGUAAUUGCACAGAAAUUACGAAGAAAUUGUUAUGUGCAGUAGCUCAUCAUCCAAUUCCAGGUGACCAUGACAGAUCAGAAAGUGAAGAGGAUGACUUGGAAGAAGAAAACAAAAAAUCAAUGUGUGCAUUCAGCAAAGGCCCGGAGGAUCCAAUAAGAACUUGUGAAGAGCAGCCUAAGAGUAGUGAUGAAAGCCUAGAAGAAGCUGCAGGGAUUUCAAGAGAGAGUUUUCUGGUUGCUGUGCCUGAGGGCUCAGUGAUGUCAAAUAGUGCACAGAAAAAUGAAUUGCCUGUAGAAAGUGACAGUUUGCUUUUAAGACAUGUAAAACCUUUUUGUACUGAAAACCUAACCAAAAAUGCAUUCGAUGACAAGGAAGCAAAGCAGAGGCAGAAAGACAACCUCUGCAGUUUCCUAAGAAUAAGCAAUGAUAAAAAUUCCGUCCAGGAAACAGAAGGCAUUUCUGAAGACUAUGAUAUAUCAUUGUUAAGCACAGAAAACAAACUGGGAUCAUGCCAAAUUACAUGUGAACCUGACUUGGAAGCCAAGAGUGUAAGUUUAAACAGUGAAGAAAAAGAAAUCUCUCAGUAUUGCAGUUCAAAUAUACUUAAUAAUGUGCCUGAUAACACAGAGAGCAAAUGUCCAUUUUUAAAAGCAGAAGAAACUGCCUCCAACGCUUGGGCUUUUUUUUCAAUUAAUUUAUCUACUGAGGAGUUGCAGAUGGACUUCAAUACUCAAGUUUCUCUCUCUCCUCGCUCUGAGGAUAAAUGUGUAAGUGAACAAAAAUCUCAAAAAGUGAGGAAACCUGAACAGACUCACAUGGACAGUUCAGCAGAACUAAACUGCUAUCAAUCAAAUGAGGGAUUGGUAAAGGAAAACCAUCUUGAAACAGAAACUGAGGAAGCUGGCAAUGUAAUAAGCAAUGGUCUGCCUGCAUCUCCAACUGGUAAAGUGCACUUUGAUUCUCUAGUGGAAGCCAGGGCUGCCUUCAUGCAGGGUUCAAGUGAAGUAAAUUUGCCAAUAAAUGAUGCUACACCAAUUACACUGAAGAGGAAGAGAUACAGGAGAAUUGUCAACUUAGCACCAAAGUUUAACCUACCAAGACAGAUCUUUGCUCAUACAGAGGAAGGGAAGGACAUCCCAGUAAGAGAAGAUAUUCCCCAAAACAGUGUUUUAGAAGUGAGGCAAAAAUACUUUCUAAGCAAGAACUGUGGAGAAGCACAUGAACAGGACCAUGCAUUGCAGGAAUAUUCCUCAGCCACUCCGGAUGCAGAUGCUCUGGUACAUAAUAUUUCUUACACUCAUUCAGGACCAUGUUCUCCUAUAUCAAAAUAUGCCUGCAGGGUUUGUGUCGAUUCCAAAACAAAGGAGGAGCAAGCUACUACACUUCAGCCACAACAGGUAGUUAAUAAAAAAGAGAACAAGGGUGAACAUGUUUCUUCAGAGGUUACAAAUGGCCAGCCAGAUAAUUUGUCUUCUGUUAAAGUUGUUUCUGAGUAUCUAGAAGAUUCUACUACAAUGGCAAGCUGCAGUGAAAAUGCAAAUGGAGCAGAUGACUCUGAGCCAGCAAAGGCAUCACAGCCUGAAGAUUAUCAAGAUGCAGAUGUGAAAUGCAGUUUUCUGGGACUUCCCUUAUCAUUAGGAUUUGCUUUUCAACUUGUGCAACUCUUUGGUUCUCCAGGUCUUCCACUGGAAUCCUUGUUGCCAGAUGAUUAUGUAGUUCCCCUUGACUGGAAAGUUUCAAAGAUGAUCUAUUUACUGUGGAAGACCUCUGUGGAGGAAAAACAGAAACCAAAUGGAUUGCAGAAUGAAGAUGGCUUGACUGAUGAUAUUAUUAAUCUUGAAGAUCUAAAUAAAAAUCCCCAAGAGAAUAAAGACUCUUCUGAAACACUAUCAGACAUGGAGUUAUGUCAAGAUGUGAUAGAGGAGAACAUCAUAACCUGCACUGGCUGCCUGGAUGCUGCAUUUCAUCAGUCAUGAGUGACUCUAAAAUUCUGCAUGAACAAACAGAAACUUCUCGCUUUAAUUCCACCAUGGAAGGACUUCAGUUGGCCACCAAGGAUUUUAAAAGUGAGGGAUAACCUGGAAGAGAGAAACCACUGUAGAUUUUUUGGUAUACAUCUUUGGCCACCUCCCCACAACACUGCCCCCCAGUAUCAACCUCUCUGACCACGUAAUAAUGAUCAAAAUUGAGAUAACUUUUUGUAUGGCAAAAGGUCACUUUCUGAAGCCUUUUGGGAUUUACACUAUUUCAGUACAUCCUCAAGUGUGGCAUAAAGAGAUUGAGAGUGGAGACCAGAGGCAUCUGUCACUAUGGGGUGUGAGCUUUAGGCUGAGGUAUUUCAUUCACUUGUAUCAGGAUCCAGGACAUUGGCACAGAAGCAGGCAGUGAUGCUUACCUGCAGGAAAUGGUGCUUGUUUUGUGUCUUAGCUGCCUCCUUCUGCCUUCACCCUCUAUAACUGCACCCUUACAUAAUUGCACCUUUACAACCUCAGAUGGUGAACAUCUUCAUCUGUGCUUCCUAUUCACUCAAACAGGGGUGCACAACUUCCAUUCUUUUCUCCUGAAACCAGUCUUUAUGCUUCCCCUCAGCUAGACUCAUUUGGGAAUUUGGGACUACAGAAACAAGAAUAUUUCACUAUGGAACUGAUUCAAACAUGCUGAAGGAAGGGUGUGUAUGGUUUGUGGUAGACUGAGAAGAUGUAUAACUAGCACUGGUAACCAGUGAUUUGAUGUUUCUGUUAGUGGUGUUGGAAAUAUUUAUGAAUGUAGAGAUAAAUCAUAAUUAAUUAUAAAGAGCAACCUCUGUCAAUUAUGAGGCAUGCAUAGGCUGGACACUUCCUUGUAGGGAGAGGGAGUGACAGCUGUCACUUCAUUUAACAAUAAAAGUGUGAAAAAAUAUUAAGGAGAAGCAGGAAACUUGGUUGUGUCUACUUGUCAGAAAUAAUAUUUCCCACUUGUGUAGCUUGCAGAUCCGGAAUAUUUCUCCAUUUAUUCUUUGAUCUCCUCUUCCUCACCUUUCCCUGCAUUUGUUUAUACAUCAGCUGAAGAGCCAGGACUUGACUGAACUCAGGCUGAAGCUCCACCAUGGUCAAAUUUGCUGAUGCGUCUCCAUCUUCUACUUAAAUACUGCAUCUACAUGAAAGCAGUUAACAAUACAGCUGAAACGUGACAACCCCACUGCUGUAGUCCUUAGUACUGAUGACUUCUUUAUUGAAAAUGGUGUCUACGUCUUUGAGCCUGAUUUCCUAGAGGAUGCACACAAGUGGAACCAGAAAAGAGCACGCAAAGCAAUGAAGAAAGGGAAAAGCCCGGUUAUUAUUGAUAACACCAACAUCCACGCUUGGGAAAUGAAGCCGUAUGUGAUGAUGGCACAUGAAAAUAGAUAUGAAGUUACAUUCCAAGAACCAGAUACACCCUGGAAGUUCAAUGUUCAAGAGCUGACAAGAAGAAAUAUUCAUCAUGUCCCUCGGGAAAAGAUACAACGGAUGAAAGAACAAUAUGAGCACAAUGUCACCUUCCACAGUGUUCUCUGGUCUGAAAAACCAAGCAGGGAUGAGGGAAGCUGCAGUGGAACAAGUGCAGCUUAUGGGACAGGUCCCCAUCCCACCCACCUUCCUGCCUUCCCAAGGAGGAGACCGGGCUUGGCACGUACCAAUGUGACAUUUAACUGAAGAUGUGCAUUCCUUGGUGCUUUAAUUAUCAGGGUACAAGAGUCUCUAGUUUUACAUUUUUUUCUAAACUGUUUUUUAUUUUUGUGUUUUUCUACUAAAUUCCUAAAUUUUAUUUCUUACAAAUCUUUAAAUGGCAUUGGACCACGCUCUCACAGCUCUACAUGACCACUGUAAGAGCACUGAAGAACACUGUACCCAGUACAAACUGUACUCUGUCUCAUCCCUCUUCCUCCAUGAAAAUCCAUCCAGGCAUAUGUGAAAUGUACUGGGCUCUACCACAUGCCACAUUUUGGGUAUUUUUUUCUGCAUCACAGUCUGACACUAGCAGUAAACAUUCCUAACUUAUUUCUGUCUUAAAGCCCUUGUGGCCAAUUCUUUCCCCUCACAAUUGGCAUUUCUUGCCAUUUUAAUGCUUUAUAUCUGACUGUAUAAACUUUUUGUAUCUACUGUUAAUGCCUAGAGCAUUAUUGUAACUUUCAGAAGCAAAGUGAAUGAUGGCAAAAGUAGCUCAACAGAUUUUAGCAAGAUUGAUGCUGUUCCCUCUCUCCACUGACUGGAUUCAUGCUGCCCUUACCUUAAACACAAACAGCUUCUCCAGCCUGCAAGCAAAACACUUCAACAAAGCAAACUUAGCUCUUCAUCUUGCCAAGACAUAGGAGUUCACUGAUCCCAAGAUGGAGAGGCUCCUGAAAUGAAACAUUAGUGUUAGGCUUGUGCUUGUUACCUCCUAAGUGGGAACAGGGCUACAGGAGCAGCUCUGAACAGCUGAAGCAAAAACACAGACCAAGGAGCUAUUUAAUAAUAACUCUGCAUGGCAUUUUGCUGUGAGUCAAAUAAUCAUUGCUGUUCUUUAAACCUCCCUUAGUGCUAUAUGGAAAGUCUGAGGAGAAAAGUACAAGAACUGUGCCAGAAUAGCAGAGCAACAUUUCAGAAUUAAAGUGUUCUGUUUGCUGAAAAUAAGAGAACUCUUUAUUAUGUCCUGUGCCACUUUGGACAGCCAAACAACUAUUCUAAUGUUGCAGGGGGUAACAAAACUGAUGGCUUUAGACUGAAACAAAGAUCCUGCUGUAAUGUAAGAACACAGAAUCAAUGGCUUACAGAAUGUCAUCAAACCCUCAGCCACACUGAUGUUAUUGUACAAUACAUCUUUGUGAUUAGUGUUUACAUACUAAACUUCAAACUAUUUUGCUAAUGAAGUGUUAUUUAAUGAGUCUGCUUUUGUAAUAGAACUUUAUUAAAUACAAUCAAGUUUUAAUGUACAAAGUGUAAAAAUAAUUUGAAUUUGAAAUAUAUACAAUUCUGUACAUGUGCA